GUGUCCGGCACGGGGCAGCCCCGGUCUCUCCUCCCAGAGCCCCCCACAGUCACCACUCCUGACCACUUAAGGUCUGCCCACAAUAUAAAGCUCAAUAAACAACUUGCAUUAUUUGUGAGAAACAGCACUUUGGUUCCAGGUUGAGACUGUGCCCAGAUUGUCAGUUUAGGGCAUGAAGAUGGUUGUCAUCUCCUGUUUGGGACUCAGGGAAAGAGAUGGAUUUACUGAAACAGAGGCAUCAUCAACUGCAAGGCAUCUUCUGGUCACUUCCCUCUGCUGUAGUGCUACUCAGAAGUUGUCCCAACACUGAUUGAUUCAGGAGUUUGAG